AGUGAACGCUGGCGGUAGGCCUAACACAUGCAAGUCGAACGGCAGCACAGUAAGAGCUUGCUCUUACGGGUGGCGAGUGGCGGACGGGUGAGGAAUACAUCGGAAUCUACUUUUUCGUGGGGGAUAACGUAGGGAAACUUACGCUAAUACCGCAUACGACCUACGGGUGAAAGCAUGGGAUCUUCGGACCUUGCGCGAUUGAAUGAGCCGAUGUCGGAUUAGCUAGUUGGGGGGGUAAAGGCCCACCAAGGCGACGAUCCGUAGCUGGUCUGAGAGGAUGGUCAGCAACACUGGAACGGGGACACGGUCCAGACUCCUACGGGAGGCAGCAGUGGGGAAUAUUGGACAAUGGGCGCAAGCCUGAUCCAGCCAUACCGCGUGGGUGAAGAAGGCCUUGGGGUUGUAAAGCCCUUUUGUUGGGAAAGAAAAGCAGCAGGUUAAUACCCCGCUGUUCUGACGGUACCCAAAGAAUAAGCACCGGCUAACUUCGUG
rnacentral:rRNA from 1 species